AUUGAACGCUGGCGGCAGGCCUAACACAUGCAAGUCGAGCGGAUGAAGGGAGCUUGUUCCUGGAUUCAGUGGCGGACGGGCGAGUAAUGCAUAGGAAUCUGACCGGUCGUGGGGGCUAACGUACGGCAACGGGAGCUAAUAUCGUACACGUUCUGAGGGAGAAAGUGGGGGAUCUUCGGACAUCACGCUAUCAGAUGUGCCUAGGUCGGAUUAGCUAGUUGGUGGGGUAAAGGCCUACCAAGGCGACGAUCCGUAACUGGUCUGAGAGGAUGAUCAGUCACACUGGAACUGAGACACGGUCCAGACUCCUACGGGAGGCAGCAGUGGGGAAUAUUGAACAAUGGGCGAAAGCCUGAUCCAGCCAUGCCGCGUGUGUGAAGAAGGUCUUCGGAUUGUAAAGCACUUUAAGUUGGGAGGAAGGGCAGUAAGUUAAUACCUUGCUGUUUUGACGGUACCAACAGAAUAAGCACCGGCUAACUUCGUG
rnacentral:rRNA from 1 species